CAGAACCAGAACCAAACUAAAUGUGAGCAUACCCUUACAUUUCCUGUUCCUUACAAAAUAAAUAAUUAAAAACUACUUAAAAUAUAGUGCAUGCGUUGUAUGCACUACAUUUAUAGUGUCUCUGUUCUGCUUUUGUGUCCUUUUUGGAGCUUCAAAACUUCUUAUGUGUACCAGGGAAGAAAGAAGGAUGUGGUUUGAACAAUAAGAAGCAGGUGUCUUGGUUGUGUUGUAUGGCUCAGAGAAGAAGACUGAAAUAUGUUGUGUAUUUGCACCAAGAUAUCUGGGCACAAAACUUGAACAAAUCACAGUAUUGUUCUCAGUUACACAUCAGUCCGGAAGCAAUCAUCUGAAGGAUGGAGGCGGAUUCCAUAGUUGACCGUUCCAAAGGUCCUCGGGAAAAUUGAAAGUGGCUGGCAAACAAGAAAACAUGAAAAUCUCUUACCUAAAUUACCCUUCAGAAGAGGAAGCAGUAUUGGAUGAUCAAAUUAAUGCUUUAUGAUACAGAGCCAUUUUGAGCUAUUUUCUGUCUUGGCUUCAAAGAGCUAAAAUGGUUAUGAGGCGAGCAGUGAUAGUAGGCUUCCAACUGCUUGACAUUAAGAUGGAAAGCUGGUGAAAGGAGGAGAACAGCAAACCUCCUUAUGAAUAUCUGUGUUGUAUCUCUGUAGAAUUCUGAUCUCAAAGUGUUUUGCAGUUUGCUUAAUUGCUGUCAGGCCCAGUUUGUGAUCAUAUUCCUAAACCAGUACAAAAGUAAGAUUUUUGUUGGAGGACAAAAAUACUUUUCCUGACUCAGCGCUGUAAUAUAGUGUAGGUGAUUUACAUAUAUACUAUCUUAAAUCCGUCUUAUCCAGGGAGAACUGCGGGUUGAGAUAUGGCAUAAAAAAAGUGAGUUUGAUGUAUGCUUUAUUUCCUUUACUCCGAAAUAAGACACGUACAAUUAUGUAAAAAGUAGCUUGGUGCAUCCUGACUGCCUUUUCUUUCUAAUACACAAUGCAAUGCAACUGUUGUUUUUUUCAUUAUCGAUAGUUUAUUUCAGUUCUAAUAACAUUGCAUAAGAAGAACCCCAAUUUAAUGUGAAAAUAAGCUUUAGGCCCAUUAUAUAUGGCUUGCCAUUAUCUCAAUUUGUCAGUAGUGGAAAAUUAAAGAAGCAUGCUGAAUAUGUAGAACACUUUUUUUUUUUUUUUUGGAUUAAUGGUGUUGCAGGCCACUGCACACAUUCAUAUGCUGUUAUUGCUUACUAUCAACAUAAAAUGGAGAGGAACUGGGUGACAAGGUCUGUUCCCUGCAGUGAAGGGAGCCUGAUAGAAUAAAGGGAAGAAAAUGGCAACCCCACUAAUAUAGUUAUGAUGACAGAGAGUGAGAGCAAGAAAGAGAGAGAGAUCAAAGUCAGCUAGAUCUAAUGCAGGCAAAGCACUCAUAGAAAGGGGAAAAGGGCCAUUUGAUCUUGAGGCGUGCCUAUAGCUCAGCAAUCUGCAUUGGACUAUAGUUUUUGCCAUUUUUAUAAGCCAUUGAAACGAUUUACGAGUGUUCGAUGGCGUUUCCAGCAUGCAUUUUCGGAUCCCAGGUGAGUUGAGGGUAGGAUGGUGAAAAAAAUAAAUUAAAUAAAAACUGGAAUGAGAGCUCAACUUUAAAGAUGUAAGAAAAAAACAGUUUGGAAGCUAGUUUUCAUUAGCACGUAAAGCUGUGUUCUUUCUGACGCAAAACGGAUUGGCUGUAAAAUAAUGUUUUCUGAUGGAAUGUGGCCACCAUGCUGUUUUUCUGCAAAGAUACCUGGAACAAAUAUCUAGAAAAAAUAGAUAAAAAACAAACAAACCAAAAAAUUGACGGUUGCCCAGUCCAGAGGGAGAUAACACAUAUUAAAAAAGGGCCCCUCGAGUUUGGUUCAGGCUGUGCUUUUGUAUGUAUUGUACAGUAUAAUUUCUCAAAGGAUUUUCUCUUUCAUCACACUUGCCCUUAAACAUUUUUGGAAACUUUUAUCAGAAAAUAAAAAAAAUAUAGUUGAAAGCUAAAUCAUACUGAAGUCCAUUUUUGACAGAGUAAAAGGAAAAAGGUAAUUUCCACUUUCUCAUAAUUCACACUUUUUUUUUUCUCGUAAUUGUGGCUUUAUCUCUCACAAUUGCAACUUUAUAUAUCAUAAAGUGACUUAAAUCUCAAAUGUUCGUUGUUUUAUUUGUUUACUCUAGGUGGAAACUGGUUUCCAUAGAAGCAUCAGUGAUAUUUAAAAGAAAAUGAUGUAAAAAUGUCAUUUAAAAAACAAUAUUUGUCCCAAAUGAAAAUAUGGCUUUAUGGGAUCUUUCUUUUCCUUAGAAGAGCAAAUAUUCUACGUGCCCACAUUUUCAGUCUUGUCUGCUAUUAUCCUAGAUAAUCUUCAUAGCAUCCCUCACACAACUUCUUCCAGCAGAGCUUUACUAAUCGAUUGUGGCAGCUAUAAAUGAUGUUAAAAGCAACUUGAAUCAUUUGGUGAAGGGCCAGUUAGCGCCUUUCUAUCUGACCAAAGCUUCUGCAAGUAGUAAUAACAGUAAACACCCAGUAAAUAUACCAUUCCAAUGAAGCUUGUAAGGCAACGCCAUGACAAAAUAUUGCUUUCAUUACUUUCCUGUUUAGGAGAAUAUGUGGUCUAGCAUGUAAGCUUUUCAGACAUCCUGUAGUUAAGAGUUUAUAAAAUGGCAAUGAUUUAGUGUUGUGGACGAAUAUAUUAUGGUUUAUUGUUUAGCUCACUUUAAAUCAUUAUUUUAUGACUUUAUUUAAUUUGCCUUGUUAUUUUGGAAGUAUUAUUCAUGGAUAUUACCAUAAUGUAUGCUGUGCUCUGUGGCAAACAAUAUUUUCCCAUUGUGACUCAGGCAGUGAUUCAGUUCUUUCAGUUCUGUGAUUGAAAGCUCAAAGGCAUUUUUUAAUUUUAUUGUAUUUGCUGGUCAGUUUAGUGGCCUAUUAGGUCUGCUAAAAAUAUAAGUUAAUUGGAGACUAAAUUAAUUUAAUUAAAGCAAAGUUUCAUAGGGAGGUUUCAAUAUUAUUACAAAAGUAAGAUAUGUGUUAUUUGGUUCACUUGAAAAUUCUUAAUAGCUUUUUGUUUAAAUUAAAUAAUAUAUAUGUAUAUAAAGUUACUGUAUUUACUCUAUGUUUACUGUAUUUACUCUGAUGAUAAUGAUAAUAUAAUUUUAAUCACCAUUUAUUUUAGGAUAAAAACUUUAAAAUGAAACAUGGUAAAUGUGGGGGGAAACAUGCUUAAUUGUCAAAAUACAAAAAUAUUUUUUUUAUAAUCUUAAAAGUAUCUUCAUUUUCUUGAUGUAAAACAUUAUAUAAUUUGUGAUUUUGUGUAAAAUGUGUAUUAUUUAGGUCACCUGCAGUCUUAAUUGGAAAACUGUAUACAGUGAUAUAUAUUUAUUAUGCAUUCAAUUUAUUUGAAAUUAAA